GUGGGGUAGUGGCCUACCAAGGCGACGACGGGUAGCCGGCCUGAGAGGGUGACCGGCCACACUGGGACUGAGACACGGCCCAGACUCCUACGGGAGGCAGCAGUGGGGAAUCUUGCGCAAUGGGCGAAAGCCUGACGCAGCAACGCCGCGUGGGGGAUGACGGCCUUCGGGUUGUAAACCUCUUUCGACAUCGACGAAGCCUUCGGGUGACGGUAGGUGUAUAAGAAGCACCGGCUAACUACGUGCCAGCAGCCGCGGUAAUACGUAGGGUGCGAGCGUUGUCCGGAUUUAUUGGGCGUAAAGAGCUCGUAGGCGGUCUGUCGCGUCUAUCGUGAAAACCGGGAGCUUAACUCCUGGCUUGCGGUGGAUACGGGCAGACUUGAGUUCGGUAGGGGAGACUGGAAUUCCUGGUGUAGCGGUGAAAUGCGCAGAUAUCAGGAGGAACACCGGUGGCGAAGGCGGGUCUCUGGGCCGAUACUGACGCUGAGGAGCGAAAGCGUGGGGAGCGAACAGGAUUAGUUACCCUGGUAGUCCACGCCGUAAACGUUGGGCGCUAGGUGUGGGGAUGGGUUCCACUGUCUCCGUGCCGUAGCUAACGCAUUAAGCG
rnacentral:rRNA from 1 species